AUACCUACUUGUGCUGGGCUUGUUUUCAGUUGCCUGCGGCUGGCUAAUAUGACUCAGGCAGCUAAAGCAAGUCUGGGGCAUGAAAGGUG
rnacentral:pre_miRNA from 1 species